UGACUGUAGGCGCGAGCAGUAGAGUUUGGGUCUCCUCUCGCUAGAAAGUCAAAGCAGCGCAGGGCGUGCCGGGAAGGGCGAGUCCUCCUCCGCACAGCCAUCUUCUCCUCGCCGGGGCCGAGCGGAGGGGCGCGGAAGGAUGAAGGGGUUCCCGGUGGUCGCGCGUUCUCUCUCGAAGAGAUUUUACUCACUUAAAGUAGCCCCUAAGUUUUCAGUCUCAAAAGCUGCAGAACGAGUGAAAUUAUCUCCAGAGUCUGAGAAUCUUGAGAUUACAAAAUUACCAAAUGGCUUAGUUAUUGCCUCUCUGGAAAACUUUUCUCCAGUUUCAAGAAUUGGUGUGUUUAUUAAAGCAGGCAGCAGAUAUGAAACCACUAGUAACUUGGGAACUGCUCACUUGCUUCGUAUUGGACCUAAUAUGACUACUAAAGGUGUAUCUUCUUUCCGGAUUACUCGUGGCAUUGAAGCUGUUGGGGGCAGCCUGAGCGUGUACUCAACGAGAGAGAAGAUGGCUUACUGCAUUGAAUGCCUGCGUAACUACGUCGAUACAGUUAUGGAGUAUCUUCUCAAUGUCACCACAGCACCAGAGUUCAGACCAUGGGAAGUAGCUGAUCUUCAGCCACAGUUAAAAGUUGACAAAGCAAUUGCCUCUCAGAAUCCUCAAGUUGGAGUGCUGGAAAACUUGCAUGCUGCAGCCUAUAAGAAUGCUCUGGCAAACCCCUUAUAUUGUCCAGAUUACAGAGUUGGAAAAAUUACUUCUGAGCAGCUCCAUGAUUUUGUACAGAACAAUUUCACAAGUGCGAGAAUGGCUCUAGUAGGAAUAGGUGUGAAGCACUCUGACUUAAAGCAAGUUGCAGAGAACUUUCUAAACAUCCGCAGUGGAGCUGGUGUUUCUAGUGCAAAAGCUGUCUACCGAGGGGGAGAAAUCAGAAAACAGAAUGGUGAGAGCCUUGUCCAUGCUGCUGUUGUCUCAGAAGGAGCUGUUGUUGGGAGUGCAGAAGCAAACGCGUUCAGUGUUCUUCAGCAUGUUUUAGGUGCUGGGCCCCUUAUCAAGAGGGGAAGCAAUGUUACCAGCAAAUUGUGUCAGGGUAUUGCUAAAGCGACUACCCGGCCAUUUGAUGCUUCUGCGUUUAAUGUUAAUUACUCCGAUUCUGGGCUCUUUGGGAUUUAUACCAUAUCCCAGGCUUCAGACACUGGGGAGGUCAUUAAAGCUGCUUUGAACCAGGUAAAGGCAGUUGCUCAGGGCAGCGUCACUGAUGAAGAUAUCAAAAGGGCAAAGUAAAAAUCAGCUGAAAGCCGCCUAUUUGAUGUCAGUGGAGACUGCAGAGGGGUUGCUGAAUGAAAUAGGCUCGGAGGCUUUGAUGUCUGGCACACACACAUCGCCAUCUGUUAUUGCUCAGAAAAUUGACUCUGUAGCCACUGCUGAUGUUGUGAAUGCUGCCAAGAAGUUUGUCAGUGGGAAGAAAUCGAUGGCAGCAAGUGGGGAGUUGGGAAAUACUCCUUUUCUUGACGAGCUGUGAAAACAAAACUGGGAUGCAGAUUCACAAUGGACCUACAAUGAGCUCUAAGUAAAUUACUACUAACUUGUUAUUUAUGCAUUCAGUUAUUUCAGCAAAUUUAUCUCAAGUAAUUGUGGGCUUGCACUUGUCAAAUAAAGUGCUGAGUUCAUACA